rnacentral:rRNA from 1 species
CAUGCAGUCGAGCGGACCGACGGGAGCUUGCUCCCUUAGGUCAGCGGCGGACGGGUGAGUAACACGUGGGUAACCUGCCUGUAAGACUGGGAUAACUCCGGGAAACCGGGGCUAAUACCGGAUGCUUGAUUGAACCGCAUGGUUCAAUUAUAAAAGGUGGCUUUUAGCUACCACUUACAGAUGGACCCGCGGCGCAUUAGCUAGUUGGUGAGGUAACGGCUCACCAAGGCAACGAUGCGUAGCCGACCUGAGAGGGUGAUCGGCCACACUGGGACUGAGACACGGCCCAGACUCCUACGGGAGGCAGCAGUAGGGAAUCUUCCGCAAUGGACGAAAGUCUGACGGAGCAACGCCGCGUGAGUGAUGAAGGUUUUCGGAUCGUAAAACUCUGUUGUUAGGGAAGAACAAGUACCGUUCGAAUAGGGCGGUACCUUGACGGUACCUAACCAGAAAGCCACGGCUAACUACGUGCCAGCAGCCGCGGUAAUACGUAGGUGGCAAGCGUUGUCCGGAAUUAUUGGGCGUAAAGCGCGCGCAGGCGGUUUCUUAAGUCUGAUGUGAAAGCCCCCGGCUCAACCGGGGAGGGUCAUUGGAAACUGGGGAACUUGAGUGCAGAAGAGGAGAGUGGAAUUCCACGUGUAGCGGUGAAAUGCGUAGAGAUGUGGAGGAACACCAGUGGCGAAGGCGACUCUCUGGUCUGUAACUGACGCUGAGGCGCGAAAGCGUGGGGAGCGAACAGGAUUAGAUACCCUGGUAGUCCACGCCGUAAACGAUGAGUGCUAAGUGUUAGAGGGUUCCGCCCUUUAGUGCUGCAGCAAACGCAUAAGCA